AUUGAACGCUGGCGGCAGGCCUAACACAUGCGAGUCGAGCGGAUGAAGGGAGCUUGCUCCUGGAUUCAGCGGCGAACGGGUGAGUAAUGCCUAGGAAUCUGCCUGGUAGUGGGGGAUAACGUCCGGAAACGGGCGCUAAUACCGCAUACGUCCUGAGGGAGAAAGUGGGGGAUCUUCGGACCUCACGCUAUCAGAUGAGCCUAGGUCGGAUUAGCUAGUUGGUGGGGUAAAGGCCUACCAAGGCGACGAUCCGUAACUGGUCUGAGAGGAUGAUCAGUCACACUGGAACUGAGACACGGUCCAGACUCCUACGGGAGGCAGCAGUGGGGAAUAUUGGACAAUGGGCGAAAGCCUGAUCCAGCCAUGCCGCGUGUGUGAAGAAGGUCUUCGGAUUGUAAAGCACUUUAAGUUGGGAGGAAGGGCAGUAAGUUAAUACCUUGCUGUUUUGACGUUACCAACAGAAUAAGCACCGGCUAACUUCGUG
rnacentral:rRNA from 1 species